rfam:Rhizophagus irregularis DAOM 197198w jcf7180003190306, whole genome shotgun sequence.
GCGAGUUUAGCUCAGUUGGGAGAGCGUCAGACUGAAGUUAGAUUCGUAAUCUGAAGGCCGGGUGUUCAAUCCACCCAACUCGCA